CACUUCUCAGGGUCACACCUGGAGAGUUUCCAGUACUCUACCAAUCUCGGCUACAGGAGGGAGAGUCAAGCAGAGACCUGUCCAUUCCUUUCCUAGCUUGGGCAGUGGUUGGUGAGUGGAAGGCAAUCUGCUACAAGU